rnacentral:rRNA from 1 species
UACGUAUGGAGCAAGCGUUAUCCGGAUUUAUUGGGUUUAAAGGGUGCGUAGGCGGGUUAUCAAGUCAGCGGUAAAAUCGUGGAGCUCAACUCCAUCCAGCCGUUGAAACUGAUGAUCUUGAGUGGGCGAGAAGUAUGCGGAAUGCGUGGUGUAGCGGUGAAAUGCAUAGAUACCACGCAGAACUCCGAUUGCGAAGGCAGCAUACCGGCGCCCGACUGACGCUGAAGCACGAAAGCGUGGGUAUCGAACAGG